UCCUACGGGAGGCAGCAGUAGGGAAUCUUCCGCAAUGGACGAAAGUCUGACGGAGCAACGCCGCGUGAGUGAUGAAGGCUUUCGGGUCGUAAAACUCUGUUGUUAGGGAAGAACAAGUGCUAGUUGAAUAAGCUGGCACCUUGACGGUACCUAACCAGAAAGCCACGGCUAACUACGUGCCAGCAGCCGCGGUAAUACGUAGGUGGCAAGCGUUAUCCGGAAUUAUUGGGCGUAAAGCGCGCGCAGGUGGUUUCUUAAGUCUGAUGUGAAAGCCCACGGCUCAACCGUGGAGGGUCAUUGGAAACUGGGAGACUUGAGUGCAGAAGAGGAAAGUGGAAUUCCAUGUGUAGCGGUGAAAUGCGUAGAGAUCUGAAGGAAUACCAGUGGCGAAGGCGGCCCCCUGGACAAAGACUGACGCUCAGAUGCGAAAGCGUGGGGAGCAAACAGGAUUAGAUACCCUGGUAGUCCACGCCGUAAACGAUGAGUGCUAAGUGUUAGAGGGUUUCCGCCCUUUAGUGCUGAAGUUAACGCAUUAAGCACUCCGCCUGGGGAGUACGGCCGCAAGGCUGAAACUCAAAGGAAUUGACGGA
rnacentral:rRNA from 1 species